UAGUACCACAGGUCCUAUCUUGCUGAUUAUUUGUGCUAAUUACACAGGGGGGUGGAUACUCAAUACACGCAGGAAAAUUAAAAUAAAGAGCAAUUGUUGAGAGCGAAGGUGAGAAGAGGAGGGGGAGGCAGAGAAGAAAGGGCAGUGGACAGAGAGCGAAUCUUCUGCCUCGUAAGCCUGAUAAUCAUUGCUCCACCACGCAGUAGACGCCAAGUAACCAAGUCUUCACGUAAACAGUUGAAUGCAAGGGCAAUACAAGACCUCAAACAGUUUAAUCUUCAUCAUCUGUUUAAGUGAUGUCUAGGCUCAGAGCAUUGAGCCAGAAGUGCAUCAGUCAGAAAGGGAAUGAAAAAUAAAAUAAAAAGCUCUGAUUCCUGAGAAUGGUAACCCUAGAAGAAACCAUCCUGAGUGUAGUAACCCAGACAUGGAAAGGCAAACAUGUUAUGAGUUGCUGAAUCAACCACUAUCCACUACAUGAAGAAACUUCUCUGGUGAGAACUGAGAGAGGCAUUAAUACAUGGAUAUAGAGAUGCAAAUUUAGAGGACACUGAAAACUAAUGGUAAUGCGUUCACCCAUGAGGCCUGUGAGCUGCCCAGCCAUGAAUUAUUGACCAGAUAAGGGUAAGGAAGAUAAAAGACACAGUAGAAUCACGGAGAAGCCCAUUAAACACAUUGCUGGCCUUAACACUCUGCAGAGGCAUUCUUGAAGCAGCAGAGCAUUUACACCUCCUGGGAGAAAGUAAUUGAUGAGCCCACUCUCUGCAAGCCAUGCUUCCGAAUCAAUGUGGCCAGAACAAUUGCUAUUUUGCAACAUCGGUGAGUUCCUCCUUGGGCAAGUGUGAGAGUAAACUGAAAUCCAAGAAUUUCUGUCAUGUAACAGUCGUCAAACUCUGGAAGUUGCAAUCUAGUAUCAAAAGUAUAAAUCAUCUUGACUAGAAGAGUUAAAUCCUUGAUUAUCAUAAAAGGCAAACACGGGAACAGAUUUCCAAAUGCACUUGUUAUGUAAGGGGGAUUUAAGAUAGACUUAUAUAAUAAUCGUAAUUUCUAACCAAUAAAUACCUCUAGUACACAGCUGUCUCCUCCUCCAUAGUUCCCACCCUACUUGGAUUAGAAAAGUCUCCAGGAGUCACUGGCUGUGACCAAUCAGUGGCACUGGAUUUGGUUCAGUAAUGAAACUAGCAACUCCAGCUACAAACAGGUGGUCAGGGGGAAAGCUCUCCAAAGGCAUGUUACAGUGUGGAAUAAGAGAAUGCAGUUACUGUAAAUAAUGGAGUGAUAUUAAAUUUAGAGAAAAUUAAUUGCAGGUCAAAUAGACAAUUCAACCUGGCUAAACUGUUAUUUUUGCAUGUUUCCAUCCUUUCCUGUGAUUAAAUUUCCUAUAACUAUGAAAAGAAGGUAUUUCAUAAGAUUAAUAGUAUAAAUGGAAAUUUAAAUUCAAAGGCUAAGUUUUGUUGGUCUGGUGAUAUAGGAUGAAAAAGAAAAGGUCAUUUCUCAACCUUAGCAGAGUCUAAAGGAGGCUCAGACCUGGUCAAGCUUUCAACCAUGAUGGUUGAGGAAGCUGCUGCUGCUGCUGCAUGCAUGUCAUUAAUGGAAGGUAAGACGAGCUUUCAAGGAACCCCAAGGAUUGCAUACUCACCCACAAGGGCCAUCAGGAAGAAUUCACCAAGUUGCCAAAAUCUUGCACAACUGCCAAGCCCAUCCAUUCUUCUUAGGUUGGAUCUGACAGCAUGAAAUCUGUUGUCAAAUCAGCAAUGCCUCAUUUUUUUGAGAACCACCACAAACAGAUGACACUGCUAGGCUGAUGACAACACAGGGGGAAGGAAUGUGGAGCCCUCUGUAAGACAGAUGGAUGAGAGAAAGCCUAUUGGUGGUCUGUUGUAAAACAAAUGCCUUCUUUUGCCUUCCAAAAACUGGGGGGAGGUGUGUAUUAAAGCAUAUAAAAUAAACGCUUUUAAUUUCUAGUAAAAUAGCCUUAAAUGUUUUACGUUUAGGUAUCUGACACAUCUUCCAAUCCAAGCUUCAGUUUCAUUGAGAUACAUGAGGACCGUUUUCACUAAGCUGGUCAGUUCCUCCUGCAAAGGGCAGACAGAUCCACCUCAGCAGUUAAUGGCUAAACUGUUGUUUCCAGAAUAGGAAACAGUGUAACCAGAAGAGAAUGAUGUGAUGUGAUGCUCCUGCAUGGAAGUGUUUGCUUGUGAACCGGGAUGCUUGGCUAGAAAACUAUCCUCUUUGUUAAUGGCCACAUUUGGAGAGCAUUAAAUGAGAACUUGUGCAACCGGACUGCUGAUGUGGGACGUGGGAUGUGAAUAUGUUUUUACAGGCAUUGGCUAAUAAAGAAGUUGACUUGGCCAAUAGCCAGGUAGAAUAGAGCCAAGUGGGAAAUCCAAGCAGAGAUGACAGGGAGAAGAAGGGUGGAGUAAGGAAGACACCAGCAGCCACUGAGAAAGCAAGACACAUAGAAAACGAGGUAACGCCUUGGCCACACGUCAAUAUACAGAUUAAUAGAAAUGGGUUCAUUUAAAUGUAGGAGCUAGCCAUUGGCCAAACAGUUACAAUAAAUAUUAAGCCUCUGAGUGAUUAUUUUAUAAGUGGCUGCAGGACUGACGGGCACCGCACAGGGAAACCUCCAGCUACACAGAAUGCUGUUUCAACUUGAUCAAUUUUUUUUCUCACCUCAAUAUUGUUAAUGACCAGGGGAAAUGAUAGUGGUAUAUUCAAAACUUGAUUUUACCAUAAAGAAAGGUCACAGGAAUUCUACAUAUUUAUUAAUAAAUAUAUAUGCAUGCAAAUACUGUAAACUGACAUUCAUAUAUUAGAGUGAGCUAUUCAAAACAUCCCAACUAAUGAUCAUAUACUGUGUUAGCUUGGGAUCAAAUGAUCCUUUUUAUGUCAAGACUGCAGCAAAAUAAGUUACAGUUUCUGACUGUCUAUAAUAAAAUACUCAUCAAAGUGAUAUUCAAGGUAACAUAUAAUAGCAGAUAUCAUUGGUCUAUUUUUCUGUUUAUUUUCUCUUAAAAAUACAUAUUAAAAGCAGCCAAGCUUAUUCCAGAAGAGUAAAUACUUUAAAUUAUUGAAGACCAAUUCAGAUCAAGAAAAAAAGCAUAUAAACAUAGUAAGUAUACCUUCAUAACUUACAAAGGUAAACUUGGUCUUGUUUUAAAAUUUGUCUGACUCAUGUAUUUCAUAU